rnacentral:rRNA from 1 species
AGAUUUCCGAAUGGGGGAACCCACUAUCUUUAGUCGGAUAGUAUCCUUACGUGAAUACAUAGCGUGAGGAAGGCAGACCCAGGGAACUGAAACAUCUAAGUACCUGGAGGAAGAGAAAGAAAAAUCGAUUUCCUGAGUAGCGGCGAGCGAAACGGAAAGAGCCCAAACCAAGAAGCUUGCUUCUUGGGGUUGUAGGACACUCUAUACGGAGUUACAAAAGAAAGUUAUAAAUGAAGCGGUCUGGAAAGGCCCGCCAAAGACGGUAACAGCCCGGUAGUUGAAAUGGCUUUCCCUCCAGAGUGGAUCCUGAGUACGGCGGAACACGUGAAAUUCCGUCGGAAUCCGGGAGGACCAUCUCCCAAGGCUAAAUACUCCCUAGUGACCGAUAGUGAACCAGUACCGUGAGGGAAAGGUGAAAAGCACCCCGGAAGGGGAGUGAAACAGUUCCUGAAACCGUGUGCCUACAAGUAGUUAGAGCCCGUUAAUGGGUGAUAGCGUGCCUUUUGUAGAAUGAACCGGCGAGUUACGAUUUGUUGCAAGGUUAAGCGGAAAAAGCGGAGCCGUAGCGAAAGCGAGUCUGAAUAGGGCGCAUAAGUAACAGGUCGUAGACCCGAAACCAGGUGAUCUACCCAUGUCCAGGAUGAAGGUAAGGUAAUACUUACUGGAGGUCCGAACCCACGCACGUUGAAAAGUGCGGGGAUGAGGUGUGGGUAGCGGAGAAAUUCCAAUCGAACUUGGAGAUAGCUGGUUCUCUCCGAAAUAGCUUUAGGGCUAGCCUCGAGGUAAAGAGUCAUGGAGGUAGAGCACUGUUUGGACUAGGGGCCCUUCUCGGGUUACCGAAUUCAGAUAAACUCCGAAUGCCAUGUACUUAUACUCGGGAGUCAGACUGCGAGUGAUAAGAUCCGUAGUCGAAAGGGAAACAGCCCAGACCACCAGUUAAGGUCCCCAAAUAUAUGUUAAGUGGAAAAGGAUGUGGGGUUGCUUAGACAACCAGGAUGUUGGCUUAGAAGCAGCCACCAUUGAAAGAGUGCGUAAUAGCUCACUGGUCGAGUGACCCCGCGCCGAAAAUGUACCGGGGCUAAACAUAUUACCGAAACUGUGGAUGAACCUCUUCGGAGGUUCGUGGUAGGAGAGCGUUCUAAGGGCGGUGAAGUCAGACCGGAAGGACUGGUGGAGCGCUUAGAAGUGAGAAUGCCGGUAUGAGUAGCGAAAGAAGGGUGAGAAUCCCUUCCACCGAAUAUCUAAGGUUUCCUGAGGAAGGCUCGUCCGCUCAGGGUUAGUCGGGACCUAAGCCGAGGCCGAUAGGCGUAGGCGAUGGACAACAGGUAGAGAUUCCUGUACCAGUGCUAAUUGUUUAACCGAUGGGGUGACACAGAAGGAUAGGGAAUCGCACGAAUGGAAAUGUGCGUCCAAGCAGUGAGUGUGA